CCGUCUUCCUCGUGCCAGGAGCCCUCGCG
rnacentral:rRNA from 1 species